CGCUGGGGGCUCUGGGCGGAGGCGCAGGGGAGACGGAGCUACCAGUUUAGGGAUGAGAGCGGGCAGGUGGGCCGAGUGAGGCCUUGUUCCUGUGAGCCUCGUGGGUGCUCGACUGGGGCUCCGUGAGCCAAUCACUCCUGCGUGUUCUGGAGCUUGGUGGCAAGGGAGCUGAGCCGCCUGCACGCUUCCGUGACCGACUUCCUUCGCGCAGCACGCUGCGUUCAUUCACGCCGCCGCCACGUCUAACGGGGCAAUUAAAAAAAAUCUCAGGACUUGGCAAGAUCAGAUGGGUGUGUGCAGAUUUUCCCCUCAAGGUUGGCAUCCUAGACGACCUUCGAUUUGUGGAGGCACUUACUGAAUGACAAUCAGGGACACGAUGAUGAAUCGAGACGAAUGUGGGAUGCCCCAAAGAGCAGGUGAUCGCAGGAAUGAAUGCAACAUAAAGGCGCCCUGUCUACGGGACCUCCUGCGGCAGGCUGGCGAAGGUGAAGGGUCAGGACAAAUUCAGGGUCUGGAGACGGAGAAAUGCCUCUGCACCCCCGCACCGUGGGCUCCUUUCCAGAACGCCCUGGGGUGGAGCCAGAGGAGACACGCCCAGCCCCCCCACCCCACCCCGAGGCGACGGGAAGGAAGCUGGGAUGACCGCAUCCACAGCCAAUGGAGGCCUCCUUUCCUGUGAGAGCGUCGCUGUGACCCUUGGAGCCGCCAGCCAUAAAGCAAUCACCAAGAUUUGUUGGGGGCUAGACACGGAGGAGGGGUGGGGACGGACAGAGGGCCCAACCCCCCCGUUGCUCCUCUACCCUCAAGGCCCUCACGGGGCACUGCCCCAGGGGCCGCCCAUCCUCCUGGAGCUGGGGGACCACCUGCCUGCUCCCCAGUUAGGAGCGAGCCCCAGACGCCAGGCUUGGACAGCAGGGCCCCUGACACACCGGGCCUCCCAGCCCUGUCCAUGCACACGUCCCACCCAGACCCCCACAGAACCUUCCAGAGCCAUCGACGACUGGCCAUCGCACCUGACCAUGAGCCAUCUCACCCUCGAACAGGCCCCCAGCACCCCUGCCCUCGCCUCCCCCACUGCGCGCAACGCAUUUCGGCCCCACGGCCCCUCCCUCCCGUCCCUCCUAUCUCCACACCUGUCCUGCUCUGGUGGACUUUUCAUGGUGUCUUUAUCUGACUUAUUCACUUGCUUAUGUGCAAGUGGUUUUAUUUAGCCUCUGUCUGCCCCCGCGGGAACAUCAGCGUGCGGACAGGGGGGAGGGUUUGUCUGGUCUGCAGCCUGCGGCGUCCCUGACGCCCCGCGCAUAGCAGGUGCUCAAUAAACAGUGACC